rnacentral:rRNA from 1 species
UUCCGGUUGAUCCUGCCGGACCCGACUGCUAUUUGGGUGAGAAUAAGCCAUGCGAGUUGAAUGGGAUACCUAAAGUUCCCAUAGCAAACUGCUCAGUAACACAUGAUCAACUUACCCUAUAGAGAAAAAUAACCUCGGGAAGCUGAGGAUAAUGUUUCAUAAUUGAAUUGGCUUGGAAAAGUUUUUCAAUGAAAGGGAUAAAAAAAAUGGUUUUUAUCUGCUAUAGGAUAGGAUCGUGUUCGAUUAUGGUUGUUGGUGAGAUAAUGGCUCACCAAGCCGAUAAUCGAUAGGGGCCGUGAGAGCGGGAGCCCCGAGAUGGGUACUGAGACAACGACCCAGGCCUUACGAGGCGCAGCAGGCGCGGAACCUCCGCAAUACACGAAAGUGUGACGGGGUUACCCAAAGUGUUCAAUAGAACUGUGGUAGGUGAGUAAUGUCCCCUACUAGAAAGGAGAGGGCAAGGCUGGUGCCAGCCGCCGCGGUAAAACCAGCUCUUCAAGUGGUCGGGAUAAUUAUUGGGCUUAAAGUGUCCGUAGCCGGUUUAGUAAGUUCCUGGUAAAAUCGGGUAGCUUAACUAUCUGCAUGCUAGGAAUACUGCUAUACUAGAGGGCGGGAGAGGUCUGAGGUACUACAGGGGUAGGGGUGAAAUCUUACAAUCCUUGUAGGACCACCAGUGGCGAAGGCGUCAGACUGGACGCGCCUGACGGUGAGGGACGAAAGCCAGGGGAGCGAAACGGAUUAGAUACCCGGGUAGUCUUGCCCGUAAACGAUGCAUACUAUGUGAUGGUACGGCCAUGAGCCGUAUCAUUGCCGUAGGGAAACCGUUAAGUGUGCCCACUGGGAAAUACGGUCGCAAGCUA